CAGAGGGAUUGGCAAGCUUGCGUGCCCCAGCGACACAGGCCUCGAGGCUGUCUCUGACAAGUGUUCACAGGAGGUGGGGACGCCUCUGCGCGAGGAACGAGGAGCUACGGGCCUGGGCCCGGUUAUUGCCAUGGGCAGCGGCUGCCGCAUCGAAUGCAUAUUCUUCAGCGAGUUCCACCCCACGCUGGGACCCAAGAUCACCUAUCAGGUGCCACCCGGGCUCGCGGGACUGGGCGGGGAGAGGGACGUUCUCGAGAGCUCAACUGGCUGCCUGAAGGCAGUAGUUUCCCGUGCUGCACGCAGGCAUGCUACUUCAUUCGCAGACAACUGUGAGGCUAGAGGAUAGUCAGACCCAGGCCCCCGGCUCCCAAUGUGGCAGGGAAGACAUACGUCACAUUGGCAGUGUUUGUAGGAUAUCGGGCUGUAGGGAUCCGGUUGGGGGGUUCCAGGUCCCACAGAAGGUGAGUUGGGUGACCCAUGAGUAUCCCUGAACUGAGUGAAGAGUAAAUGAUGCAUAGGAAGUUUAGAUAAGGCAGGAGAAAGUGUUCCAGGUAGAGGGAACAGCAUAUGCAGAAGCCAGGAAGGAGGUGAGAUCAUAGCGUAUGUUUGGAAACAGAAAGAAGUAAUAGGCCUGAGUGGAUGGGAGAGAGGGGAACGCUGGAGAAGAGGACUUGGGCUUGGGGGGCAUGAGGAGGUCACCAUUUGUACUACACACAGUACAGAUGUCCACUGACGGGCCCAUUGCCACUCCCCUCCCCAGGUCCCUGAAGACUUCAUCUCCCGAGAGCUGUUUGACACAGUCCAAGUGUAUAUCAUCACCAAGCCAGAGCUGCAAAACAAGCUUAUCACUGUCACAGCUAUGGAAAAGAAGCUGAUCGGCUGUCCUGUGUGCAUCGAACACAAGAAGUACAGCCGCAAUGCUCUCCUCUUCAACCUGGGCUUCGUGUGUGAUGCCCAGGCCAAGACCUGCGCCCUCGAGCCCAUUGUUAAAAAGCUGGCUGGCUAUCUGACCACACUAGAGGUCUGCAAUGAGAUGGGCUUGGGUUUACCAACAGGCAGAGUUGGGGAAGGUGUUCCCAUGUCUCCAAAGUCCCCCAAACCUGGGACCCUGCAAACCAGCUCAGGACUCAGGGCAGCCAACCAGCCAGGGGUCCUGGGAUGUGCCCACCAUGCUUUCCAUGCUCUGUCUAGCUAGAGAGCAGCUUCGUGUCCACGGAGGAGAGCAAGCAGAAGUUGGUGCCCAUCAUGACCAUCUUGCUGGAGGAGCUAAAUGCCUCAGGCCGGUGCACUCUGCCCAUUGGUAUGGCCAGCCUCUGCAAGGACAGCAGAGGGGUAGAGGAGAGAUGGGAAAGUGAGCCCAGCUAGUCAGGGAGAAGGACAAGACUCAUGAACACAUUGGUGGGCAGGAAAUAGCCAUGGGCUGAGGUGCCCAUGUCCAGGGUCCAAUGCAUGAUGGAGCUGGGACUGGGGGUAGGGGGAAAGCAGAGCUCUCCAGCUCUGCCCCUUGGGCAAUUCCUUCCCCUUUGUGGGCCUCCGUUUCUCACUCCAUAAAAAGAGAAAGAUUAGCCCUACCCAGAGGCACCUGCUUGCCCCAAGGGAUGCUGGGAGGCCUGGAUGGUAAUUGAGGACCUCUUGGAAGAAGUGGCACUGAGGAUAUGGAUGGGGCCCCCUGCAGAUGAGUCCAACACCAUCCACUUGAAGGUGAUUGAGCAGCGGCCAGACCCUCCGGUGGCCCAGGAGUAUGAUGUACCUGUCUUUACCAAAGACAAGGAGGAUUUCUUCAACUCACAGUGGGACCUCACUACACAACAAGUAUGCCAUCCCUCCCUGGGUAUCAUCACCUGGGGCUGGCCACAGCCCUGGCCUCAUCCUGUUUCUUCUGACCUUGUCCCACUCUGCCCAGAUCCUGCCCUACAUUGAUGGGUUCCGCCACAUCCAGAAGAUUUCAGCAGAGGCAGAUGUGGAGCUCAACCUGGUGCGCAUUGCUAUCCAGAACCUGCUGUGAGUGGGCCUACAGUCAUACCUGGGACAAGGUCACCAGCCAGGGAAGACGUCAGGGGCCCUGGGUGUGAGGGUUGGGAAGGCAUGGUCCUCAGAAGCUGAGCACAGCUCUCUCUCUCAGGUACUACGGCGUUGUGACACUGGUGUCCAUCCUCCAGGUAGGUGAGUUGGGUUUGGUUAAGUGGAGAGUGGAUCAUGUGGCUGGACCAGACCAGGGCUGUGUCAGCUUCCCAAGCCCCUCACUCAGGCCCCUAUGCCUUCUGCUAUCCUCUAGUACUCCAAUGUAUACUGCCCAACGCCCAAGGUCCAGGACCUGGUAGAUGACAAGUCCCUGCAGGAGGCAUGUCUAUCCUACGUGACCAAGCAAGGUAGUGGUGGGUUCUGGGGGAAGCCAUCUUGGGGAGGGCAGGGCCACAUGAUGAGCUGAUCCCUGGCACCCACAGGGCACAAGAGGGCCAGUCUCCGGGAUGUGUUCCAGCUAUACUGCAGCCUGAGCCCUGGCACUACCGUGCGAGACCUCAUUGGCCGCCACCCCCAGCAGCUGCAGCAUGUUGAUGAACGGUCAGAGGAGAAUUUGCUGGGGCAUUUGGGAGUUACCUGUGGGAAGCUAGACCCUUUAUGUCUCUCAGGAGCCCUGGAUCAUGGGGCACUGCCAAUCCAAGCAGGCUUCCUGGAGAUGAUGGGCUACAGAGACAAAAUUGAAGGGAGACUACAGGAAAGGGUUGGCCUGCCUGAAAGAAGGCCUGGCCAGGGCGUCACCCCUGUCCUCUGAUCCUCACCCUAGGAAGCUGAUCCAGUUCGGGCUUAUGAAGAACCUCAUCAGGCGACUACAGAAGUAUCCUGUGCGGGUGACUCGGGAAGAGCAGAGCCACCCUGCCCGGCUUUAUACAGGCUGCCACAGCUAUGACGAGAUCUGCUGCAAGACAGGCAUGAGCUACCAUGAGCUGGAUGAGCGGCUUGAAAAUGACCCCAACAUCAUCAUCUGCUGGAAGUGAGGCUGGUAGUGACUGGAUGGACACAUUGCUGUGGGUAGUCCCUCCUACUAGGAGGCUUGUCAUACUGUCUAGAGGUUGACUCUUAGUUCUGUAAAUAAAGACAUCCAUUUCAAACAGC
rnacentral:sRNA from 1 species